AUCAUGAUACUUGCACACAGUCGAGGUUAAGUCCCAGAGUGUGCCCCGGUCGUUGACGGGGAGGUGCAAUUCCUAUGA
rfam:Clostridiaceae bacterium BRH_c20a BRHa_1000357, whole genome shotgun sequence.